rnacentral:sRNA from 1 species
CACACAUUACCCUGAAACCGCACAUGCGCCGGCACAUCCAGUCGGGUGCCCGUUGAGACAGACGGGUUUCUGGAUGGGGCGCAUGGAGGCUCAAC